GACGAACGCUGGCGGCGUGCUUAACACAUGCAAGUCGAACGGAAAGGCCCCUUUGGGGGUACUCGAGUGGCGAACGGGUGAGUAACACGUGAGUAACCUGCCCUUUACUUCGUGAUAACUUCAGUAAACUGGGGCUAAUACCGGUUAGGAAUCCUUGCUGCAUGGUGGGGGUUGGAAAGCUUCGGCGGUUUUGGAUGGGCUCGCGGCUUAUCUGCUUUUUGGUUGGGUUGUGGCUUACCAAGGCUUUUACGGGUAGCCGGCCUGGGAGGGGGACCGGCCAAAAAGGGACUGAGAAAAGGCACAGAAGGGGAAGGGAGGAAGAAGGGGGGAAGAAUGAAAAAGGGGCGGAAGGCUGAUGAAGAAAGGCCGCGGGCGGGAAGACGGCCUACGGGUUGAAAAACGCAUUCAGCAGGGGAGAAGCUUGUGGUGACGGUACCUGAAGAAGAAGCACCGGCUAACUACGUG
rnacentral:rRNA from 1 species